rnacentral:rRNA from 1 species
GACAGAGGUGCCGAGCGUUAGGCGGAAUCACUGGGCUUAAAGCGUGUGUAGGCGGGCGGGCAAGUACCUUGUGAAAUCCCACGGCUCAACCGUGGAACGGCUGGGUAUACUGCCUGUCUUGAGCCAACUAGGGGCGAGCGGAACAGACGGUGGAGCGGUGAAAUGCGUAGAUAUCGUCUGGAACGCCGAAGGUGAAAACAGCUCGCUGGGGCCGCGCUGACGCUGAGACACGAAAGCCAGGGGAGCGAACGGG